GAAGGCCCCGUCUAGCCUCCAGCCGCUGCUGCUCGUGCUGGUGCUGGCUGGGUGUAGCGACAGCAGCGACGGUGGUGGCGGCGGCGGCGGCGGCGGCGGCGGCGGCGGCGGCGUCGUCGUCGUCGACGACCAUUUCUUUAGUGAAUGGAGCACCGGAAGCGAGAACGCUGGCUAGUUUUGCCAAGCACAUGCUUUUCCAGCCGAAACCGCUUCCCUGCACUGAGUGACGGUGCUGUUCACAUACAAGGCUGCACAGGAGGAGGUGGAAACGGUGUAUGAAAAACAGAAAAAAAUAAUUUAACGACACCAAACGAAGUUCUGGAGUACUCUAUAUAAGUUGGUUGUCGUAAUAUUUGACAAGGAAAAGAAGAUGCUUGUUUUCGACGACUUCCGCCAGACUCGCUAUCUGUAUUUACUCCAAGACUACUUCCCCGAGUUUAACUCACGGGUUUGUCUAUACUUCAAGCUCUACCACAAACAGCGAUGUAUAAGGCACUGCUGUUCGUUUCGAUGGUUUCAUCUUCAUGUUUACUGUGCUAUUCUAGCGUCAGUCUGGGCUCCAUAAUAGGAUUAUUUAUCAAAGAUUCGCUAGCUGACGUUUUUUCGUUCAAAAUCCUAAUUAACAGAUCAUGUGGAACGCCACUGCGGCAAUAAUCGUAUUCACAGCAGCGAAUCGAGCUUGCGUUUUUGCCUACCUAUACCUCAGUAACAUUGUUUCCCCGAUUAUCACAUAAAUUAUACAUGGUCCCACAACUUCAUUGCCCCUUUAACGAGCCCAAUUGGAACGUUGUCUUCUCUUUUUUCAUCUCACUCCCUCUAUGUUUCGCAUGUUAACUGCGUUCUAUCUUAUGGAUCCGUAUGCGGUCAUCCAUUACGCCUAUCACCAAGCCGAUAAAGUUCCGUUAAUACGACAUCUUGUCGCUAGUGCAAAUCCUACGGCUAAUACCUCGCUCAUUUGUAGUUACUGUUUGCCUCAUUUUUUAUAUACACGAUCUUCGCCAACUCGGUCUGAUGUAAACGUCUAUAGAGACAAUUAAUAGUGAAAUGUGGACAUCGGCCAGACUGUAGAAUUAGAUGAUGCAGUUACUCAACUGUAGACAUCAUUUGAAAAGUAUCUAAUCAGACGGAGUGCAAAAAGCACAUAAUUAAGGCGAGAACAGAUUGGCAAGGCUUCCGUUAGGACGCGUCAACAAAAUAAUCAGACGCUGCUUGUAGAACUAGAAAAGUCGGGCGUCUACAAGAUAUUCGUCGUGGUCACAAUGUUUACACGGAACUCGUGGUCGUCGGAUCUUGAUGUGACGCAUGACUCAUUCAGGUGUCGUGCGAAACAGCCAAAAUGGCUUUUCGGCGACUGGAUGUCUAUUGUUCGCAGCUAUCUAUCUGACUCGGUUUGAAGUCCCAAAACUUAUUAAUGAGCUGUAGGAAAUGUCUGUUAAAAAAUGAGGCAAUUAAAACGUAUACGCGAUAACCGGCAGUGUAAUAAAGUGCGAUAGCUGAAUGAUGGGGUAAAGGGAAAAGAAAAAGCUAGAAAGGAAAAGCACGAUAGUUGAAAGAAAAAAAAAGGGCAUGGAACCUAGAGGAUCUAACAAUUCGCAGUGAUUUUUUCCCGACACUUUCAUAUUUGUACAAGCAUCCAAUAUCUGCUCGCCGAUCGCAAAAAAUAACCGAAAAGCUUAUGACUAUGACUUAGUUUUAAUGGCGUUAUUUUGGAAAUUCUGUAAUUUCAAUGUCAAAUUCGUUGACGAAAUGACGAGAAGAUGCGCCUAGCUUUGGUGUCGUUUCUUCUUUAGUUCUACACCACAAAGUUUUAUUAACCAACAGUGAGAUCUGGGCACUGCUCAAAUGUAAAAUUCUAUGUGUAGGCUAAAAAAAAAGAUGGAUCCUUCAACAUUAAGGGCAGGGCAUCCUGUUUUUAGAGGAACAUGUUUGAGUCUAGCUUUCUAUCUAUAGAAACAUAGUAACUUAGUAAAAGGAAAUAUAUCGUAUCAGCUUUCUCACAGUUGCUGCUAAUGAUUACGGGAGGUACCACGCCUUAAAUUAAAGUAUCUUAUUGCGGCUUUGCUCUUUUUCCCAUAAACCCAAAGUGGUGUUGCUGUUCAAAUGGCAUAAGAUCUUCAUAAUUACAUUAAAUUGUUACAUACCGAUGUAAUUGUUGGAUGAUUUCUAAAAUGCAUUGUCUUCAAGCGUCGAUAAUCAUUAGGGCAAGAGCAGGAGAACAAGGACAUGGCCGACCAAGUGAACAGUGUACUUUUCACGUGUCACGAUACCUCGAGUAUUUUAUUAUAGUCAAUUUAUGUACAAGUAGAUUUUUAAAUCUACGUUACUAUGGCCAAUGUUUGACACUAAUUGUUGAAAGGGAAAGUUGCUUGCAAAAAAAAAAAUCAGCCACAAGCUGAUCUAUUAGUAGAGGGCAAAUUUUAAUAAACGGUGUCUGUAGAAAAAAAAUUGUUUUCACUGAAUGUCGAUGUCAUUUUGGUUUUUUUCGUUCGAAAUUUAACCGCAUGUAGCAGUGAUGUCGGUAACAAUAGCAUGCGCGUCGAGCUGAAUAUGCAUCUUCACAUUACUACUCAUACAGAUGAGAGAGCGAAGAACUAUCAAGCGGCUGAAUGCGUCGGAAUCUUCACUAUCACUCCA